rnacentral:lncRNA from 1 species
AGCUUCGUUCAGGCCCGGCCGGGACUUGAUCAUCCUGGAAAUUAUAUCGCUGGCUCGUCCCACUUGGGGGAAAGCCAAUUACCUGGACUGGGAGCCAUUGGCAUCUCGUCCGGCCUCCCGCAGCCAGACAGGAACCCUGAGCUUCUGCUUCCAGCCUGGCCUGGCCUGUCCUAGAGAGUCCGCCUGGGUGAGGGGAGAGCCAGCCUGCGAGGGGCCCCUCCCACCUGGCCUUUCCUGUGGGGCUGCAGUGGAACCUUCUCAUUUGCCUGAAAUGGAAAAAAGUCAAGCCCCGCAGCAGAAAAUGUCCGGGAUCCUCCGCAAAGCGACCCAGAAGUUGAGUCCCAGACCCCUUGGAGCGGGAACCGUUGGCCUGAGAAGCUUGAGGAUCACGUUCAAUUCAUCAUUAUUUGGCGCCCUGAUUGACUUGCCCGCGUGGAGACUUCUCGCGGCUGUGCCUGGUCCUCCCGGCCCAGUUCUGGCCGCGCGCGCGCGCGCCCCUCGCCCAGCUUAAUUGACUGUGUCUCUAACCCGCCACGAGGUGCAGCUUCUAAUGAUGAAUAAACAACGGUGCGCGAUUACCGGCGAAAUUACCCAUCUGCGGGUCAUGCUGGGCAAGCACUUCUCAAGCAAAAACGCCUCCCGACCUCCAGCUUGAGGCGGCUGCGUCAGGACACAUUCCCAAGGCGGGCUCUGGGGCGAGCCAGGGGACGCCUGGUCUGGGUGGCCUGUGGCUGCUCUAACAAGCACACGACCUGCUCACGUCCCCGUGUCCCCCCAGUACUGGCCGUCGGGGCCAUCAUCAGCUGAUGCCACGCCCCACGGCCUCCCCCGUUCAGCAGAGCUCUCCUUCUGAGAAUCCAAAUUCCAC